CCUACGGGUGGCAGCAGUGGGGAAUAUUGGGCAAUGGACGCGAGCCUGACCCAGCAACGCCGCGUGAAGGAAGAAGGCUUUCGGGUUGUAAACUUCUUUUGUCAGGGAAGAAUAGAAAACGGUACCUGACUAAUAAUCCCCGGCUAACUACGUGCCAGCAGCCGCCGUCAUACGUAGGUGGCAAGCGUUGUCCGGAUUUACUGGGUGUAAAGGGCGUGUAGAUGGGUUGACAAGUCAGAUGUGAAAUCCUGCGGCUUAACCGCAGAACUGCAUUUGAAACUGGUGAUCUUGAGUACUGGAGAGGUAGAUGGAAUUCCGAGUGUAGCGGUGAAAUGCGUAGAUAUUAGGAGGAACACCAGUGGCGAAGGCGGUUUGCUGGACAGUAACUGACGGUGAGGCGCGAAAGCGUGGGGAGCAAACAGGAUUAGAUACCCUAGUAGUC
rnacentral:rRNA from 1 species